rnacentral:rRNA from 1 species
CUACGGGCGGCAGCAGUGAGGAAUAUUGCACAAUGGGGGAACCCUGAUGCAGCAACGCCGCGUGGAGGAUGACGCAUUUCGGUGUGUAAACUCCUUUUAUAUGUCAAGAAAAUGACGGUAGCAUAUGAAUAAGCACCGGCUAACUCCGUGCCAGCAGCCGCGGUAAUACGGAGGGUGCAAGCGUUACUCGGAAUCACUGGGCGUAAAGGACGCGUAGGCGGGUUGGAAAGUCAGGUGUGAAAUCCUUCAGCUUAACUGUAGAACUGCACUUGAAACUUCUAAUCUAGAGUAUGGGAGGGGGAGAUGGAAUUAGUGGUGUAGGGGUAAAAUCCGUAGAUAUCACUAGGAAUACCUAAAGCGAAGGCGAUCUCCUGGAACAUUACUGACGCUAAGGCGUGAAAGCGUGGGGAGCAAACAGGAUUAGAUACCCCGGUAGUC